rnacentral:rRNA from 1 species
UACGGAGGGUGCGAGCGUUGUCCGGAAUCAUUGGGCGUAAAGAGCGUGUAGGCGGCCAGACAGGUCCGUUGUGAAAACUGGAGGCUCAACCUCCAGACGUCGAUGGAAACCGUCUGGCUAGAGUCCGGAAGAGGAGAGUGGAAUUCCUGGUGUAGCGGUGAAAUGCGCAGAUAUCAGGAAGAACACCCGUGGCGAAAGCGGCUCUCUGGGACGGUACUGACGCUGAGACGCGAAAGCGUGGGGAGCGAACAGG